AACUUCUCAACCACAUAAGUGGCUUGGAUGUGGGGGUUGUUUUUUGCAGGCUUUCUAUAGAAGGUCGGCUCCCCUGAAAUGGAUUAGCGGUAUCUGAGGCUACUACUAUGGGUGUGAUAAAUAUCUAUGCCUUUGGUGUGCCGCAUGAACAGAUUGCACUGCUUCUAAACAAAACAAAUUUUUGAUAA
rnacentral:misc_RNA from 1 species